AAUUUAAAAAAAUUCAACCAUAUAAUUUAUUUUGAUACACUAGUAUCUAAUUUAAGUUGGUAAAAUACCAAGUAAAAGCAACCUGAAAGACAUGAGAAAACCAAUCGGCUUAAGUCUUCUGUUUUUUUUUUUUUUUUUUGCUGGUUCAGCAGUUGACAUUGUCAUAUCCUAUGCUCAACCACUUCGUCUAUCUCCUCCUCCAUAGCUUUGCACAGCCACAGCUCUAUUUCGGUGAAUUCAUAGCUGCACAGCUUCCUACAGCCUGAAGAAGCUCCCCCCACUUCGUCUUCUCCAUCUGAGGAGCAGAUUUCAGCCAAAACCCAGAAACCCACUUCGUCUUCUCCAGCUGCUUCCUCCAUCUCGUUAUGGAAGCUCAAAAAAGGGGAUCAACAAAAGGAAAGCGCAAAGUCGACAGUAAUGUGCAACAAUCAAGAGUUGGCCGAGAUGCAUUUUUUAAUUUCAUGUAAGUUACACGUACAUCUAAAAAUCGGAAAUGUAGUUGCUUAAUAUUAUGAUGGUUUUUUGAUUAAAAAUAAAUAAUUUACAAAAAAAAAAAAAGAAGACAUAAAAUGGGGAAAGUGGCAAAUGCAAAGUUGGACAAUAAGGUGAGAGAUGGCAAUGGAUUGGGUUAGUUUAUUAAUUAUUUUAUUAAAAAGGCUCUUUUAAUGAGAUUUUUUUUUCCAGGUACAAGAAGAGAUUGCUAAUAAAUGGAGGAAAUUAAACCUUAAAGAGAAGGCUACAUAUGGUUCUGCCUUGGAAGGUUCGAGUGGGCCAAGGAUUAAAAUAUCAACCAUGUAAAUAAUAUAGGGCCUCCAAUUUACGGAUAUUUCGGGGGAUAUAUUAUUAUCGUCUUAGGUAUCGGAAAAAAGAAGAAGACAAAUAUAGGUAUUGAAACACAUAAUUUUGGUAUAAAACUUUCAUAAAUGUUAUGUACAUUA